rnacentral:rRNA from 1 species
ACCCAAUAGAUACCCCGGUAGUCCACGCCCUAAACGAUGUGCACUAGACUGGAGCGGCUCUGACGUCGUUCUGGUCGUAGAGAAAUUGUUAAGUGCACCGCCUGGGUAGUACGGUCGCAAGGCUAAAACUCAAAGGAAUUGACGGGGGCUCACACAAGCGGUGGAGCAUGUUGCUUAAUUCGAAGCAACGCGAAGAACCUUACCUGGGUUUGACAUGUACGGAUUAACCGGUGGAAACACUGGCCACACUCGCAAGAGUGGAACGUACACAGGUGCUGCAUGGCUGUCGUCAGCUCGUGCUGUGAAGUGUCGGGUUAAGUCCCUUAACGAGCGCAACCCUUGUCGCUAGUUGCUAACAGGUAAUGCUGAGGACUCUAGCGAGACUGCCGGUGUCAAACCGGAGGAAGGCGGGGAUGACGUCAAGUCCUCAUGGCCCUUACAUCCAGGGUUGCAAACGUGCUACAAUGGUGCAUACAGAGCGACGCAAGACCGCAAGGUGGAGCAAAUCGCAAAAAAACUGCACCCCGAGUUC